UUUCUCUCUCUCUCCCGAAAAAUCCCCAAUCCCUCCUCCAUCUCCAAUCGGAGCUCCCCCUCCAUUUCCAAUCCGCCAUCUCCAUCGCCGACGAUCUCCCAAAUCACCCAUCUCUAACCGGAGCUCCCCAGAUCCGCCUCACCACCACGAACCCCAUGACUACGAAAUUUGAGACCGCCUCCUCCGCCACGACUACGAAGUCUGAGACCGCCGACUUCCCCAACUCAUCCGAUGCCGACGACGAUUAAGUCUAACUCCGUCGACCGUGACCGACUAUCCCCAACUCCCUCGAGCUCGAUCUCGAGAUCCCCCAACUCAGAGUUAUGGUCUCAUUGAGUCAUUCUGAGCGUAGUACCUCUCUCUAUUGAGUCAAGAUUAACAUUCUUUGUUCAAGAGAUGUGAAGCUAUCUUAUGUUUACUCAAACAACAUGUAAAAGAUCCCGGUUCUUGUAGAUAAUAAAGCAUCAGUUAUCAAUGUUCGUUGGAUUCAGAAGCCUGAGCGAAGCAGACAUAAUAAAGUAGGAUUCGAGGGAAGAGCUCAUUGAUUGAGGUGGCGAAGAAUUAGUUGUUGAUGUAAAAUAGCAAUUUAGUUGACUAAUUGGGAGGAAACUGUAGCAAUGUUUAUACAUUGAGGAAGGUAGGAGCAGCAGGUUAUGGAAUUAUAUAUUACCAAGCUCACGAUCAUGGUCUGUGCAGGAUAAGUUUUGAAGGAUAUGGAAAAGAUGCUACAUAUGUACUCAAGGGACAUAUAAUCAUAUAUGUUAAAAGAGGUCAAGUUAAGGUCAUAGAAAAGCAGCAUGAGAGGUAGACGAAGAGUGCUCUGUAGGAGUCAAUGCAGAGAUGUAUGCAAGACUUCAUUUCAUCCACUUAAACAUGUUGAUUCCAA